UGGCUAUCAUGAGAUACAGAAGAUGAUAACCUCCUUUUUCUUUACCUACCAAAAAUGCAGAAUAUAACCUCCUUUUUCUUUACCUCAAGUAAUUCACCAACCCCACCUAAUUCCAACAAAAUUAUUCCCUGAUCAAAAGGGAAUAAUUUAGGAGUCCUUUUUUCUUCUUUUUGUUGUUUGGGGAUGAACAUGUCAAGGAGUUUGGAACUAUAACAGUUGUUGCACCUCAGCUGAUGGUUCACAAUGGGCAGUCUCUUAACACAUUGCAAUCACAUCAAUGUAGACCCACUUUUCUAGCUGGAAUUAGCAAUGUACUGAUUUAUCCUACACGGCAUGUCGCUGAAAAAAAACAAAUGGAAAGAAAAACCUCCAUGAAAUCACCAAGUUUGAACUUUGAAGUUAUAUAAGGAGAGGAGAAGUACCAACAGAGAUGAAAGUUGUGGUGACCAAGGCGAGGAUGUUGGGAAGCAUCCCAACUGGUAGAGGAACGGGGAAGGAAAAAGGUAGGGUAAUCUGAU
rnacentral:lncRNA from 1 species